GUGCUGGACCGUGUACAAGUCUCCUGGAACGGAGCGUCAUAGAGGGUGAGAAUCCCGUCUUUGACACGGACUACCAGUGCUCUGUGAUGCGCUCUCAAAGAGUCGAGUUGUUUGGGAAUGCAGCUCAAAAUGGGUGGUGAAUUCCAUCUAAAGCUAAAUAUUGGCGAGAGACCGAUAGCGAACAAGUACCGUGAGGGAAAGAUGAAAAGCACUUUGGAAAGAGAGUUAAACAGUACGUGAAAUUGUUGAAAGGGAAACGCUUGAAGUCAGUCGCGUUCCUCGAGACUCAGCCUUGCCUUAUGGUCGGGGUUCGCCCACGUUCGUGCUUAGGAUGCUGGCGUAAUGGCUUUAAACGACCCGUCUUGAAACACGGACCAAGGAGUCUAACAUGCCCGCGAGUGUUCGGGUGGAAAACCCGUGCGCGUAAUGAAAGUGAAAGUUGGGACCUCUGUCGUGGAGGGCACCGACGCCCGGACCAGACCUUCUGUGACGGAUCUGCGGUAGAGCGUGUAUGUUGGGACCCGAAAGAUGGUGAACUAUGCCUGAAUAGGGUGAAGCCAGAGGAAACUCUGGUGGAGGCUCGUAGCGAUUCUGACGUGCAAAUCGAUCGUCAA
rnacentral:rRNA from 1 species